UACGUAGGGGUCUAGCGUUGUCCGGAAUUAUUGGGCGUAAAGAGCUCGUAGGCGGUUCGGCAAGUCGGAUGUGAAAUCUCCACGCUUAACGUGGAGGGGCCAUUCGAAACUGCCGUGACUCGAGUCCGGUAGGGGAGUUCGGAAUUCCCGGUGUAGCGGUGAAAUGCGCAGAUAUCGGGAAGAACACCCGUGGCGAAGGCGGUUCUCUGGGACGGUACUGACGCUGAGACGCGAAAGCGUGGGGAGCGAACAGG
rnacentral:rRNA from 1 species